CCGGGGAAGGAGACCCUGAGAUGACACAUGUUGAAUGAGCUUCCUUCGGCUCAGUUUCACUUGCUGUAUAUUCAUAAAGCCCCUACUACGCACAGGACCUGUACACUUAUUGGCACAUCAGCAAAAGGUUUUUCCUAAAAGCUGUUGUCUAAUGCUGAGCAGAACACAGCUCGCCCACGCUCCUCCCCGCACAGCCCCGAGGGAGGCAGGGGCCCAAGUGACGUGCACAGCUACAGGCUCAAAUAGUCACGUCUCACCCAGGAAGCUUAAAGAUGGGUGUGGUCUGAUACCGCCAGCAAGUGAGGACAAUUAGGAAAGUCACCAGUUACAAUAAUUUCUGACGCCAAAGAUAAUCCUUAUGUAGGCAAGACUGGCCUGAAGUGCUUCCUCGGGCCAAGCAAGCUCCAGUGGAGGCCGGCUCCUCGAGGCGAAGUGAAAGGCCAUGAGGUCCCCAAAGGCUCGAGGGACACGAGGCCCCUUGAUAACUCCUGAGUCCGAUAACCGGCGCUGUGGUUUGACCGUACCAGACAAUUAACUUUGGAUACAGUCAUGAGCACACGCACCCCGCGUGAAGUUAAGGACCACUCUGCCUGGCCUGGGGCCUGUUCACAUUUUGUCUUUUCAAGAAUAACGGACCAACGCUUCUGUAGAGAAGAGAAAAGAAGAGGGCCCGUGUCCAGCCAGGGGGCUGGGAGACCCAUUCUGGAAGGCCCUGGGCAGGAAUCAGGCCCGAGGAACUGUCUCCCAUUUUUCCUGCAGAGGAUCCGAGCUGCACUUGAGGUGGAGGGAGCUGCCCGCAGCCCCAGGGCAAGGCGCCGGUGGACAGGCCUCCUCGUGCUGGGUCAGCCCUGUGCCAUCCAGCUCCCGGCAUCCUCUGCUCUUAGCACUGAGGGUUUUCACGUCCUAUUUGGAACUUAUAGGAAGCCCUCUCAUUGUUCCACUACACGGAGAUUAGCGCUGAUGAAGGAAGCGCUCCAUCAGAUAAUCGGCCGCUGCAGCGAGCUGGCUUCCAGUGUGAGUGCACCCAGAAUCCGUGUGUCCCCGCCUCCCAGUGACCCCCAGACUCACAGCCCCCAGGGCACCCUUGGCCAGGGUGGACAGGGGCUCCGGGCGGCCGGAGGCUGUGUCAGCUGA
rnacentral:lncRNA from 1 species